GAUGAACGCUGGCGGCGUGCUUAACACAUGCAAGUCGAACGAAGCAUUUAAGACAGAUUACUUCGGUUUGAAGUCUUUUAUGACUGAGUGGCGGACGGGUGAGUAACGCGUGGGUAACCUGCCUCAUACAGGGGGAUAGCAGCUGGAAACGGCUGGUAAUACCGCAUAAGCGCACAGUACCACAUGGUACAGUGUGAAAAACUCCGGUGGUAUGAGAUGGACCCGCGUCUGAUUAGCUUGGUGGCGGGGUAACGGCCCACCAAGGCGACGAUCAGUAGCCGACCUGAGAGGGUGACCGGCCACAUUGGGACUGAGACACGGCCCAGACUCCUACGGGAGGCAGCAGUGGGGAAUAUUGCACAAUGGAGGAAACUCUGAUGCAGCGACGCCGCGUGAGUGAAGAAGUAGUUCGCUAUGUAAAGCUCUAUCAGCAGGGAAGAUAGUGACGGUACCUGACUAAGAAGCUCCGGCUAAAUACGUG
rnacentral:rRNA from 1 species